rnacentral:rRNA from 1 species
UACAGAGGUCUCAAGCGUUGUUUCGGAUUCAUUGGGCGUAAAGGGUGCGUAGGUGGCGCUGUAAGUCGGGUGUGAAAUUUCGGAGCUUAACUCCGAAACUGCAUUCGAUACUGCGGUGCUUGAGGACUGGAGAGGAGACUGGAAUUCAUGGUGUAGCAGUGAAAUGCGUAGAGAUCAUGAGGAAGACCAGUGGCGAAGGCGGGUCUCUGGACAGUUCCUGACACUGAGACACGAAGGCCAGGGGAGCAAACGGG